AUUGAACGCUAACGGCGUGCUUAACACAUGCAAGUCGAGCGGCAGCACAGUAGUAGCAAUACUAUGGGUGGCGAGCGGCGGACGGGUGAGUAAUGCAUAGGAAUCUGCCUUGUAGUGGGGGAUAACCCGGGGAAACUCGGGCUAAUACCGCAUAAUCUCUACGGAGCAAAGUGGGGGACCGUAAGGCCUCACGCUAAAAGAUGAGCCUAUGUUGGAUUAGCUAGUUGGUGGGGUAAAGGCCUACCAAGGCAACGAUCCAUAGCUGGUCUGAGAGGAGGGUCAGACACACUGGGACUGAGACACGGCACAGACUCCUACGGGAGGCAGGAGUGGGGAAUAUUGGACAAUGGGCGAAAGCCUGAUCCAGCAACGCCGUGUGUGUGAAGAAGGCCUUCGGGUUGUAAAGCACUUUUAGUUGGGAAGAAAAGCUCAAGGUUAAUGCCGUUGAGUGAUGACGUUACCAACAGAAAAAGCACUGGCUAACUCUGUGCCAGCCGCCGCAGUAA
rnacentral:rRNA from 1 species